UUUUUGAUUGUUAUGAGUUUGCAAUCUUAGUUGGAUGCGCAUAUACUAGAGUUUCUUCAAUAAUGCUUGAUUGUUAAUGGAGGCGCACAAAAUUGUCUUAAAUUUGAUGUUAGAUUGCUCAAUUAUUGUAAUGGCUCUUUAUGAUUAGUUUUUUUAUUUUUAUUUUUUAUAAACUGAAUUAUGAAUACAAUUUUUUUUAAAUAAAAAAAAAAACACUGUGUAGUGGCUGUUUGGGUUGAGUCCCUUUCCAUGUCUCUUGGUCUAAUAAACAGGCGUAAGACGACAUUGCUGAUUUUUGCCACUGCCCCCUACUUGUAAGAUUAUUAAUAAUAUUGUUUAAUGUUCUAAAAUAUUAUGCACUAUAGUCAAUUGUUUGGUGCGGAGUAUUUUUUUGAAACAUAAGUAUUUUAUUUUACUCCGUGAUUUCCCUAGCUAAUUCUUGGUUAUUUCAUUUUAUUUACCAGUUUUUUUAUAUUCUUCUUCUUCUUUUUCAAUGACAUACAAGACUUAUAUUGACACUCCAUCCAUAUGUAUGUCACAUCUUUAAUAAUCUAGGAGUCUCAAGAGUGUAGACACAAUGAUCAUUAUUAAACCAACCAAAUUUGUUUUCUUAUCCGAAUAUAGAUUGUCUAUCCUAUAUCCCUGCAUUUAAGACUUGCGAGGGGAAAAUAAACGAUGAACAUUACUGUACAAUAUUAUAUGAACAGCAUGGAUAUUAUGCACAAACGAAAGAACAACAAGAAUCAGACAACAGUGUGC
rnacentral:lncRNA from 1 species